CACACGGCCCUAUUCAGGGCCACACUCACUCCACCCCUCUCUAACU
rfam:Alligator mississippiensis ScZkoYb_72, whole genome shotgun sequence.